rnacentral:rRNA from 1 species
AAACGCUUGAAGUCAGUCAUAUUGGCCAGGGAUCAACCUUGCAGUCAUGCUUGGUGUACUUUCUGGUUGAUAGGUCAGCAUCAAUUUUGACCAGUGGAAAAAGUUUGAGGGAAUGUGGCAUCUUCGGAUGUGUUAUAGCCCUUGGCCAUAUACAUUGGUUGGGAUUGAGGAACUCAGCAUGCCGCAAGGCCAGGUUUUUAACCAUGUUCAUGCUUAGGAUGCUGGCAUAAUGGCUUUAAUCGA